GGAGGCAGGCUGCGAGUCCUUCUCAGGGCUCUCCCAGGGCGAUGCCUGCCGUAAACUGUCCACGUCUGCCUUUUGUUUUCUGAAGACCUACUACGUGCCGGUCUUUGGCUGAGCACUUUCCCCCAGUCUACCCACAAGUCUCACAACGGCAAGAACUGUGGCUGUCUCAUCAAUAGCAUAAUGCCGGCACCCAGCAGAGGAAAAAGGAACUGCUGUGUGACCAGGCCCGUCCCUGGGCCCUUAGGGUAGCUCCGGACUGGUCUGAGGACUCCUGGAGAGGGUCUGCUUUGUGUCUACAGGCUGGGUCAGCCAGCUUUCCGGUCGUCACCGGGGAGCGGGAGUCCUGGUGAGCUGGAACACGAGUGUGGACCUCGCGUGCUGCCUUCGCACGCCUGCAGAGCUGUCGCUGCUCCCUGCCACAUUCCCUCUCUCCUUGGCUUGCCCUGUGCCUGCCCCAGGAGCCUGGCGUGAUCUCAGUGUGUACCUCCCCACUGCCACCUCUACGUGACUGAUGACGACGCCACGACUCCACGGGCAGACUACCGCAAGCUCACGUGGCUGGGAGAAGGUCUGAUUCGAGCCCAGGCAUUGGAACAAUGCUCCAAAUAAGGACAGGUGGGCGGACGUGGGGUCCCUGAGCAUCCGCCACCUGCUGCAGGCCCCUCCAGGCCGGGAGCCUCGCAGCCCCUCCGGAGGAAGAGCAUGCUUAGCGGCUGAGUGCGCCAUCUCCAGCUCCCCCUUGGGCUUCUCCCAGGGGCCUCGGGCACCCCGUCAAGGCAUUGGCAUCAUCAGCCUCAGUGCAGAACCACUGCUGCUGGCUGGGAGUUUCCGGUGAGAAUUCCCCCUCAGUGCCUUCUGGACCCAUCCCGAGAGGAGCGGCCCUGCGGAUGGGACUGAAGGGUCUUUAAAGGAAGUUCAAGGUUGGAGCCAUUCAGAAGCCAUUCAGAAUGUUCCCUGAUGCUUCGACCACCCAGCAGGUCCAGUUCUCAGAAUGUAUCCAGAGGAAAUCUCAUAGGAGGGGUGCCGAGAUGAGAGGACACGCAGUGGGACCACACGGGGCAGCCCAAGUGGCUGCGGGUGACCCCUGCCCAUUCUGAUGGGCUGUGUGCCCGAGGCAGACCAUUCCAGCUGUUCCAGUCUGCAAAGUCAGCGCUGGUUGUGAGGACGAUCAUUCAUCCCUGGUGUCGGGGCAGGGGCUGAAAACAACCUAAAUGCCCCACAAGAGGCGAUUGGUUCAAUGAUGGUAUGUUUAUUAGUAGACUACUGUGUGCUUUUCUUCCGGUAACUCACCAAAAAUGACCGACAGAGAGGGAAAGGAGGGACCCUGGGUACAAGUUCUCCAGGACUUUUAGAAAACACGAAGUGGCUCCUUUGGCAACAUACUUGCACGUCUCCAGGAAAGGUGGUAGUGUAGACAUUGAGGGGAUGGGCACUGUUCAAGCGUUACCAGGGCCCACCUGGAAGAGUCUGCAACAUUACCCAGCAUGCCGUUGGCACUGUUGUACACGAGGGAAGGGCAGGAUUCUCGCCAAGAGAAUGAAUGUGCGUGUUGAGCAUAUUAUUAAGCGUUCUAAGAGCGGAGAGAGCUUCCUAACACGUGCAAAGGAAAAUGACCAGGAGAAGAAGGAAGCCAGAGAGAAAGGGACCUGGGUCCAACUGACACGCCAGCCUGCUCCACCCAGAGCAGCCACUGUGUGAGAACCCAUGGGAAGGAGCCUGAGCUGCUGGAACCUAGUCCUAUGAAUUCAUGGCAUGAUGGGUGUUAAAAAUAAACAAACUCUGGUCUAUAAAAAAGUUUGCCUUAAUUGAGUAUAAUUGUGGUGUUCCCUCCCUCAAAGCAAAUUUUAAUUGGGCUCUAAUUCAUUUUGUGAUAUCUUUAUUCAAAUUUAGUGUUUUUCGAGCUGAAAGAUGUGGGGUGGCUUAUUAUGCAACAAAUAAAACACAGUUGGUUAAAAAAAUAGACUACCGUGUGGAGAAUAAAAGUUAUACCCCUGACGCGCCCGCAGGAUUAGGGGAGCAGCUGUUACCUCUCGUGAGGUGCAGAGAGUUACAGUACGGCGUGCUCCCGAGGUGAGGAAACAGUACACCGUCUUCCCAUUCUGGCACCAGGACACAGCAAGCUGAGAAACUGCACACUGGAAUAGGCCUCGUCCACGUGGCCGGGGGAGCACAGCCCCCCAGAGGGC